rnacentral:lncRNA from 1 species
UCUGCAAUACAGAUAUAAGAAGAUCGGAUCAUGUUGGAAACAUAUAUAAGAUCUAUUGAAGACGUUACAGAGCAUAGACAUUAAAUUUGGUAUACAAAUGAAAAUCAAAUUCGCUUUUUUUCUUUUUACUAUCAACCUGAGACAAGCUUAAUCAUACUAAUAACAGUAAUGUAUAAGAAAACUAGAUGUAUUCACAGAAAUUAUGAACCUUUUGAAAUUCAAGUUUAACUCCACUAACAAUCUUCACAAACCAAUGCAUUUCAACUAUUCUUCAAAUAUCCUAGAGACAAAUGAUUUACACAAUGCAAAAUUUGGACACUUUUCCAGCAGAUAUUCAAAUCUUAUACAAACCCACUUAGCAAACGAGCCAAAGAAAUCAACCAAACACAUGGAAGAUAAUUGCAUCGAUACCAGUGUCAGACUAAGUACCUGAGCUUGGUUGGUUUUGCCGUGCGCCUGUUGGGGAGAGGUUUCUUAACAUCUUCAGCUGGAUAGAACUUCGGUGGCUUCUCCACCGGAGCAUCAACCUUAGAUUUAGCGUCGUGACGUGGGAAAACGCCUCCAUUUUUGGCCUUGAUAGCCCACAAACCUCUCUUAUGGUACAUCUGGGAUCUCGAGUAUUUACCAACACCCCUGAUCAGAUCAGGGUUUCUGUUGACCUUCGGGGUCCUCUGUUUCGCCGGCAUGGUUCUCUCUGUCGUAAUGAAUCAAGGAAAAAUUUUCCGGCUGAGAGUGGAUAGAGGAGAGAGUUGAGGCUGAGGAUAGGUGAAUUUGAAGACACUGAAACCCUAAUUAAAUUUUAGGGCUUUCUUGGGCUCAUGGGCUUUACAAUUAUAUCGGCCUUUUAAUGUGGACCGUAACAUGCAUAAUAGGAUUUGUUUUUUCUUACAACUUUGUAGUAUUAAAUCUUUUCACCUAAAACUAUUUUGACAGGAUGAUAAAAAAAUCAGAGUUAGAGAGUAGUUUAUCUAAAAACUCAGGCUAAUAAUCCCCACACAAUUUGACCAACGCCAAAAUCAGAGCAAGACGAUUCCUUCACCUGUAAGAGUGCAAUGGAUCACAUAUAUCAUUUAUAAUUAGUUUGAGACGCUUUUGAUGAAGCUGAUGAGGAUUUCUCCGCUUUAUUCACCUUUACAUGUCCUUCUUCAACAAACAUUGGUCGGCUUAAAAGCUCUUCAAAAGAUCAAUGUGCACAUGCCUAUGUAUAUAUAUACUAAUGACCCCGUUACUCAAUCAACAAAUAUUGAAUCUUGAUCACCGAAAACCAAAAUUUCAUUAGAUUCAAUGGCUAUGGCUAGUAGUAGUAGCAGCUCGUCAUUGUUUCCUAUCCAACAACAACCUCAACAACAAUUAGGAGGCAAUGAGAUCACACCUAUGGCUACCAAUGCCAAUCUAAUCGCAGCACCAAACGCUCCAAACCAUUACUCUUCCAGCUCCAUUGGACCCUUCUUCGCUGUCAUAUCUGUUCUCAUCAUUCUUGCUGUUCUCUCCUGCUUCUUGGGUCGAUUCUGCGCACGGAGCCGCCAGAGAACUGGUCUAGUGGCUGAAGUCAAUCCGUUGGAGAUGAUAAAGAGUGGUGGGCUUUUAGGUUGGCUGAGACGAAAAUGGAGACGGUGUUUGGCCGGAGAUGUUGAGGCCGGAGCUAAAGUUGCUGAUUGUGCUAGCAAAGAAACACCUAAAGAUAAUGAUCAAAUUCGUCUAGAAGCACCUCCAGCUUGAUCUCGGUGCAUGUGACAGAGACUAGUAAUAAGAGUUUCAAUAUUCGAAGUAGAUUGUAAGCUAAACUAUAUCAUUAUUGCAAUGUUAUUUUCAAUUCUCAAUUUCAUCACUUCGUCAUGACUUAAGCAUUACUAGAAUCUUGUGAAAAGUUCUCCUUCAAAAACAGGAUUGAUAAAUUAUCCAUAUAAGACAGAAAUCCAGAUAGCAGCAGCCAAGAUUUUAUGUCUCUGGUCAGUGGACGAGAACAGAACCAACCAGUUGGAGUGUAAAACUUCAGGAGACAGAUACACUAGAAACCUCAGAAAAAAAGUAAUGAAAUCUAGAAAACAAGCUCAUGGGGCUUCAUUCCUUGUUUCAAUGAAAACCUUGCUCCGAGGUAAGUCUUCAACUCUGGAACUGCUUCAAUAGCUUUGAUCAAAGCUGCGUCCACGGCUUUCUGGUCAUCUUUCUUUCCCUGUGGAAUCUCUUUCUUCUCCUGCGGAAGGAAAAAAAGUAUAUGGAGGUCACGCAUAGCUUUUAAUUUGGGUAGUGUAUAAAGGAGAGAACUUUAAUCGUCUAUUACAAAAUGAGAACCAAAUGACUCUUAGAGAAAGACAAGAAGAAUGUUUGGGAUACCUCUUUCUCAGCCUCGAAGAACUCUCCUUCAGUCUUCUUCUUUUUCUUCUCAGCAACCUUGCCGAAGUACUUAUCAUCGAAUUUGUCGAGGGUAACUCCAGAAAUGUCAACCUUUGUGGAAGUACCAAUGACAUAGGCCUGGUUAACACGUCUCAGAGGAACACCAUUGAUCUUGAAUGGUCCUAAGGUCAAUAACAAAACAGGAAUGUCAACUUUAUACAGAAUACAGAAAGCAAGUUUAGUGAAUGGGCGUUCUGCAUUUCGAAUAAAGAAUGUGGCAAAUAAAGAAAGUAGAUUAGCAUAAAACUCACCAGUCACAAGAAGCAAACCGGAGGCAAGCUGCUUAAGGAAGACAACUCUCUUGCCCUUAAAUCUACCAGCAAGGAUGAUAAGCACUGUCCCUGGAGUGAUGCUAGCUCUGCAAUAGAGAAAUAUGAAUAUCGGAUUACAACAUAACAAAUUCCGAACAAUGUAACACAAAAUACAAGCAAAAGAGGCAAACUUUCCACAGAAAUCAAGAUAAAUUCACAAACCAAAUAGAACAGACCACAAUGACUAAUUAACGAUUUCAAAACACUAAGCUAGUCAAAAAAUUUCGGGAGAUUCAAAGAUUUAAAUGCAUACAAAGCACUCCUUAAGAACCAAAGAAAACAACUAUUGCAUUGAGCUAGAUUUCAGACUCCAAGACAAUGAGACAGUGUAUCAGCUAAGUACCUGAGCUUGGCUGGUUUUGCCGUGCGCCUGUUGGGGAGAGGUUUCUUCACGUCUUCAGCUGGAUAGAACUUCGGUGGCUUCUCCACCGGAGCAUCAACCUUAGAUUUAGCGUCGUGGCGGGGGAAAACGCCUCCAUUUUU